rnacentral:rRNA from 1 species
UACAGAGGUCUCAAGCGUUGUUCGGAUUCAUUGGGCGUAAAGGGUGCGUAGGUGGCGCCGUAAGUCGGGGUGUGAAAUUUCGGAGCUUAACUCCGAAACUGCAUUCGAUACUGCGGUGCUUGAGGACUGGAGAGGAGACUGGAAUUCAUGGUGUAGCAGUGAAAUGCGUAGAGAUCAUGAGGAAGACCAGUGGCGAAGGCGGGUCUCUGGACAGCUCCUGACACUGAGGCACGAAGGCCAGGGGAGCAAACGGG